UUGGUGUCUUACUCCUCGGCCCAUGGGCUUCCUUGUCCCCCAACUCAAGUCUCCUCGCGCCGUAGAAACUCCACUAAAUUCACUUUUUGAAACAACGCCUUCUUCCUCCUAGAAAACACAACCACCACAUGUUAGGGUUGUGUUUAUAUAGAAUUUAGAUAUCUAGUUAUCGGAGCCAAUAGAACAAGAAAACACUUAAUUCUGAGGGUUAAUACAUAGUUUAGCCAAAUAUAAGUUGGAUUAAUUAUGAGCAUGUAAAAAAAGAAUUAAAGCAAAUUACAGUCAAUAAUAAUCAAUGUAAGAAAGCCUACAAAACUCUGAGUACUUGAAUUAAAUCCUCCCGGAUUAUAUAUGUCUCUUUCAAUUUUUGAUUUCUCUUUAUGGGAUUCCUAACACAUUUUUUUUUAAAAUUGAAAAUGCUCCAUUAAGAAAGGAAACAUCAUGGGAACAACCUCUCCCAUGUGAGGCAAAACCCAGCACUGUUUAACAUGUUAAAGCUAACACUAGACCUUAACAUACCCAAGAUACACGACCCUUAGCCGUAGAGCAACAACACAAAAAGGAAAAAGACAAACAAACAAGAAGAUAAAUGUCCCAUUCUACAAUUGCAUAGGGCACGAUUAUUGCCUGCUUCUAACUCCAACUCCUGCAGCCUACAAGUCUGGAAAUCGUUCAGGAAAAAAACUUUAUUAGCUUGGAAGCACCCUUUCCUGAUCACGCAGACCUGCCUCAUCAAUCAAAUCUGUUACACAAACCCGCAGUGGAGAAUCUUUAUUGCAACCUUUGUUGGCCAAGAAAUCUGCUUCCACAUUACUCUCUCUAUAGAUGUGCCUUACUUCAACACAAUUUACCUCAUGUGUCAGGAAUUUGAUGUGAUUCAAUUCAUUAACAAGCCUCGAAGGUCUUUUCUCACUAGACCCUAUCUAACCCACCGUGACAGUCGAGCCGCUUUCAAUUAUGAUGUUUAUGAAGAGAAAUUCCUAACACAUUUUCCUAUAGUCAAUGCAUAUUUGAUUCAAGAAUUUUUCUGGCAGUGUGUUAGCAAAGCUCUUAAGACUUAAUGUACUAACCUUAUAGAAUGCUCAACUACUUCUCCAACAAAAUUGUCAAUCCAUAGGCACAAAACCCAUUAUGUGAUUGAGACUACAAAAACUUGUGAAUGGGGAAAUUCUGCUAUUUUACCUUCUUUUUUGGAAAGUUUAAACUUAAUACUACAUAUCUUCCAAUUAAGAAAAAUAAGUUAUUGACCGCUGCUAAUUACAUCUUGAUAGAUUUGCAAUUUUUAUGGUUAGUGGUCGUUAAAAGUUGUCAUUUAUGUUGGAGGGAUAUCUUUCAUAUUUUUUCAAGAUCUACCAUACAAUAUAUGGGGCCAAAAGACAAAAUAUAUGAUUUUAGCCCCAUAAGUUAUAAAAAAAUUAUUCUGAUAACUUGUAAAUUUGCAAAUUCUUCACACGAGACAUAAUAUUAUAACAUAUAUCAAAUUCAAUAUGCCAUAGAAGAAUUCUUUGGUCAAUUUCUCCUAAGCUCUUCCACUUUGUCACCCAUAUGACCACAAUACAUCAACAAAAUGGUAAGAAUAAUGUAAUGGAAUUUUCAUAGUGAAAUUACUUGUAAUAGAUUCCUUGAAAGCAUUCUCAAAACUGUUACCAUGAUUUUUUUAAGACACUAUAUCAGUGAAAUACACCACAUUUUCAGUUGAUACAAUGUGUUAUCAUCAUGAUCAACGUCUAUGCCAAAUAUAAAUUUAUAAGGAAUGGAUAGAGGAGACUUGUAGGGAAUAAGAUCAAAAAUCAUAUAAUAGAACAUACCCUUCAUCCUUGAAUGUAUGGUUGAAGAAAGUAAAUUAAAAUCCAUGAUAAGAUCGCCAUCUCUGCCUCGAAUGUCACCAUGAAUUUUGCUUUCUUCAACUACAUCUCAAAGGACGGAGAGUAUAUUUUGUUAUAUGAUUGUGAUUCUCUUCCGUACAAUACUCCUUUGAAUUCAAUACCUUUUAUAAAUUUUAUAUGUGACAGAGAUGGUGAUCUUCAUGAUAGUCACUUCGUAUCAACUACAAAUGUGGUGAAUUUUAUUGAAAAGGGGUGUGAAAAUAACAUCGUGGUUCCAGCUUUGAGUAAUGCUUUCAAAGAAUGUAGUUCAAUUUCCUUGUUCCUCACCCCCAAUUAAAUAUAUAGACCAUGUGAUAUUUUUUUG
rnacentral:lncRNA from 1 species